UAGUGAUAAUUAUAGCUAUUCUGAUUGGAUUAACUCGUGGGAUGAUUUUAAUUGGCUUUUACAUUUGCAAGUGGAGAGCAUUUUAUGGUAAGAGUCUCCACCCUUACUUCAUUCAUCUAUUAAUGUAAUAUUUUAGCUGAGUAAUAUUUUGACCUUGCAAAUCCAAGAAGUAUAUGGUCUAUAAAGAAAUUGACAAGUUUUUAUUCUAACAAAGUAACAAUUGCCAUUGAGGGUUAGCCAACAUUCAUGGCAUAACAUUAAAAUUCAUUUGAAACCAAAUAGAACUUAAAGAAAAUACUAAUUUUGAAGACACGUACAAUAUAGAUAUUUUUAAGCAUACCUGGAAGUUUUGAAUAGAAUAGAUGCAUUGUUCUUGUGAAUAUAUUUUAGAAUCGACCAUAAGACAUGGUUUGUGUGAAUUGGAUGGGAAUUUUUUAACAUGCACAUACAGAGCAUUUUUCUUGAUAUGUGUAUAUAACUGGUGUUAACAUGUCAUUUGUUGUUGCUUUAUUGGUAUUCUAUAAAUAUGAAAGAGAUCAAUGCUCUAAAUCUGAGUUUGAAUGUUUGCUAUUUGUGUACUGUUUAAGUUUAUUCAUUUUUUUUCUUUCACUUUUGUCUGCUACCUUGUUUAUAAUAUAUGGUCAAAUUUGUUAAAAUUCCAUUUAGAUAGAUAGCCAUGUAGAGUAUUUGUGGAAUAUAGAAGUAAUAUUCGGCCAUUAAUAACUCUACAUGAUACCUUUGAAUAUAACUAAUAAAUGUAAUAUAUAUAUAUUUAUAUGGUUAUUAACUCUCAUGCAUGUUUUGCUCAAGCAAAAAGAAAAAAAAAAGAAAGAAAAACAAGAAGAAAUUGAGUUUGAUGAAGCAAAACAAAAGAGCUGAAAAAUGAGUAGCAGAUCCCUCUAUUAAUCAUAUACCAAUAAGGACUCUACUCCUAGCAAAACCUCAAGGACUGACACUGUUUUUGUAACCUGAUUUGAUCUUUAUUACAAACUUUGUAGACUUUUCUUUAGAGUUUGUUUAUAAAAUUAAGGUUGCCGGUGUCCUUGCUUUUGCUAUAAUUUUACUGAAGUCUUCAAAAUGAACUAGAGAUGCCUGAAUCAUGAUGUAUAUCAUCUAAUUGGUUAGUUAAAGUUGAAAUAAGUGUUUCUGGCCACUUGAAUCUUAUUAUUGCUAUCUCAGAUGCUGAACAGAGAGAAGUAGAUACCUGGCACUUCAUGUAAACAACCCCUUGGUUGGGUUUACUUCCCAGUGCUGAUGGGGAAGUAUUACAUUCUCAAGAUGAUGGAGAUAGUCCAAUUCUCAGUCUCUUUAAAUUAGUCACUGCUGCAAUAUUAUCUAAGCCAGGGUGCCCAAAUCCAACCUCUUUCAGCACCCUAUGGUUUUCCAUUAUGUCAUAUUUUAUAUAUUUCUUUGAAGUAGAACCUGUUUUAUGGUCUCUACAGAGAUUUCUUUGUAUUAACUAGAGUUUUCCAAUUUUCUCAGGAAAUCAAAUCCUUGUUUCCUGCCAAUUGCAGUCCAUUCUAAGCUGGUUUUGGAAAUAGAGAUACAGAUGAAGUUAGCUACCUUAAGGUCGGAAUUCCACUAGGAAAAAGUUACUAUGCUUGAAAAUGAGCAAAGUCAGAACUGAAAGAGCUUCUUCAAAGCUUUGGAUGGUUGCGGGUUUAGCUGUUGUUUGUGUUAUAUGUUUCACCUCUAAUGCUUUUGCAGGCAGCAAGAGCAGCUGAUUAUAGUAUUGGGAGUAAGUUGCUGAUACCUAAAUCCCUCCUCUCACUUUUUGGAAACUUGACAGAACGAACAGGGUAGAGUGAUUUCUUUGGAGCAAUUCUUGACAACAUUUGUAGUUGAGGCCUUUAGAAUGGAAGAAUGUAUUUCACUAAUUUUUGUAUACAUUUCUUGUUUUGUAUUUAGUGAUAAAGGAAUCUGAAUUGGGCAUAAGUUAUGUUGUAAUAUGAUUUCUUAAGCCUAGGCUAGUAGACUAAAUAUUGUAAUUACAUUUGAGUAAUUAAUAAAAAUCUAUUUAUGUUACCUUA